rnacentral:sRNA from 1 species
GUUGGCCAGGCUGGUCUCGAACUCUUGACCUCAAAUGAUCCACCCGCUUCGGCCUCCCAAAUUGCUGGGAUUACAGGCGUGGGCCACCGUGCCUGGCAAAAAAUGAGUUUCUUUUUAAUGCUAAUGCCCUGUAUUUUUAUCUUCCUUUCAGGAAAUCAAAUCAAUGAAGAAAAGAAUGAGUGAGCUAUGUAUUGAUUUUAACAAAAACCUCAAUGAGGAUGAUACCUUCCUUGUAUUUUCCAAGGCUGAACUUGGUGCUCUUCCUGAUGAUUUCAUUGACAGUUUAGAAAAGAUAGAUGAUGACAAGUAUAAAAUUACCUUAAAAUAUCCACACUAUUUCCCUGUCAUGAAGAAAUGUUGUAUCCCUGAAACCAGAAGAAGGAUGGAAAUGGCUUUUAAUACAAGGUGCAAAGAGGAAAACACCAUAAUUUUGCAGCAGCUACUCCCAUUGCGGGCCAAGGUUGCCAAACUACUCGGUUAUAGCACACAUGCUGACUUUGUCCUUGAAAUGAACACUGCAAAGAGCACAAGCCGCGUAACAGCCUUUCUAGGUUAGUUCUUUUUUUUUUCUAUGACUGUUUUGCUAUACCAUGUCAAACAGACAGAAGGCCUCAGACAUAAUAUGCCUUUGAGGACAUCCUACUUUUCCUUCAUUCGAGAGAAGUAUGUUGAUCAUCUAUUAAGUGUUAGAUAGUAUG